rnacentral:rRNA from 1 species
AGACGUAGGGGGCAAGCGUUGUCCGGAAUUACUGGGCGUAAAGGGUGCGUAGGCGGCAAGCCAAGUCAGAUGUGAAAUCCCCGGGCUUAACUCGGGGGGUGCAUUUGAAACUGGCUAGCUUGAGUGCAGGAGAGGAAAGCGGAAUUCCUAGUGUAGCGGUGAAAUGCGUAGAUAUUAGGAGGAACACCAGUGGCGAAGGCGGCUUUCUGGACUGUAACUGACGCUGAGGCACGAAAGCGUGGGGAGC